rnacentral:rRNA from 1 species
UACGGGGGGGGCAAGCGUUGUUCGGAAUUACUGGGCGUAAAGGGCUCGUAGGCGGCCAACUAAGUCGAACGUGAAAUCCCCGGGCUCAACCCGGGAACUGCGUCCGAUACUGGAAGGCUUGAAUCCGGGAGAGGGAUGCGGAAUUCCAGGUGUAGCGGUGAAAUGCGUAGAUAUCUGGAGGAACACCGGUGGCGAAGGCGGCAUCCUGGACCGGCAUUGACGCUGAGGCGCGAAAGCCAGGGGAGCAAACGGG